rnacentral:rRNA from 1 species
AGUAACACGUGGGUAACCUGCCUGUAAGACUGGGAUAACUCCGGGAAACCGGGGCUAAUACCGGAUGCUUGAUUGAACCGCAUGGUUCAAUCAUAAAAGGUGGCUUUUAGCUACCACUUACAGAUGGACCCGCGGCGCAUUUGCUAGUUGGUGAGGUAACGGCUCACCAAGGGGACCAUGCCUAGCCGACCUGAGAGGGUGAUCGGCCACACUGGGACUGAAACCCGGCCCAAACUCCUACGGGAGGCAGCAGUAGGGAAUCUUCCGCAAUGGACGAAAGUCUGACGGAGCAACGCCGCGUGAGUGAUGAAGGUUUUCGGAUCGUAAAACUCUGUUGUUAGGGAAGAACAAGUACCGUUCGAAUAGGGCGGCACCUUGACGGUACCUAACCAGAAAGCCACGGCUAACUACGUGCCAGCAGCCGCGGUAAUACGUAGGUGGCAAGCGUUGUCCGGAAUUAUUGGGCGUAAAGCGCGCGCAGGCGGUUUCUUAAGUCUGAUGUGAAAGCCCCCGGCUCAACCGGGGAGGGUCAUUGGAAACUGGGGAACUUGAGUGCAGAAGAGGAGAGUGGAAUUCCACGUGUAGCGGUGAAAUGCGUAGAGAUGUGGAGGAACACCAGUGGCGAAGGCGACUCUCUGGUCUGUAACUGACGCUGAGGCGCGAAAGCGUGGGGAGCGAACAGGAUUAGAUACCCUGGUAGUCCACGCCGUAAACGAUGAGUGCUAAGUGUUAGAGGGUUUCCGCCCUUUAGUGCUGCAGCAAACGCAUUAAGCACUCCGCCUGGGGAGUACGGUCGCAAGACUGAAACUCAAAGGAAUUGACGGGGGCCCGCACAAGCGGUGGAGCAUGUGGUUUAAUUCGAAGCAACGCGAAGAACCUUACCAGGUCUUGACAUCCUCUGACAACCCUAGAGAUAGGGCUUCCCCUUCGGGGGCAGAGUGACAGGUGGUGCAUGGUUGUCGUCAGCUCGUGUCGUGAGAUGUUGGGUUAAGUCCCGCAACGAGCGCAACCCUUGAUCUUAGUUGCCAGCAUUCAGUUGGGCACUCUAAAGUGACUGCCGGUGACAAACCGGAGGAAGGUGGGGAUGACGUCAAAUCAUCAUGCCCCUUAUGACCUGGGCUACACACGUGCUACAAUGGGCAGAACAAAGGGCAGCGAAGCCGCGAGGCUAAGCCAAUCCCACAAAUCUGUUCUCAGUUCGGAUCGCAGUCUGCAACUCGACUGCGUGAAGCUGGAAUCGCUAGUAAUCGCGGAUCAGCAUGCCGCGGUGAAUACGUUCCCGGGCCU